AAGUGAAUAUAAUUAUAUAAAUUAACAUUAUUAUUUUUUUUAACAGGAAAUGCACAAUGCUAAAAACUGCGUAGGAGAUUUUAAUACAAUAGUACUACCAAGCCUGAUGUUGGCCGCUAUUUCAAUGAAUGCAGCAGUGUGACAGCUAGCAAUCAAAAGUAACAAGAUAUCGAGGAAAUGCAGAAGGCAAAAAACUGUGUAGGAGUUCAUGAUGGCAAUAGAAUAAAAUCGACCAAGCCUGAAGUCAGCAGCCCCUUCAAUGAAUGCAGCAGUGUGACAGCCAGCAAUCAAAAGUUACAACAUAUCGAGGAAAUGCAGAUGGCAAUAAACUGUGUAGGAGUUCAUGAUUGCAAUAGAAUAAAAUCGACCAAGCCUGAAGUCAGCAGCCCCUUCAAUGAAUGCAGCAGUGUGACAGCCAACAAUCAAAAGUUACAAGAAGAUAUCGAGGAAAUGCAGAAGGCAAAAAACUGCAUAGGAGAUCAUUAAUACAAUAGUAUUAUAUAAACCAAGCCUGAUGUUGGCCGCUCAUUCAAAGAAUGCAGCAGUGUGACAGCCAGCAAUCAAAAGUAACAAGAUGUCGAGGAAAUGCAGAGUGUAAUAAACUGUGUAGGAGAUUAUGAUUGCAAUGGAAUAAAAUCGACCAAGCCUGAAGUCCUUCAAUGCACGCAGCAGUGUGACAGCCAGCAAUCAAAAGUUACAAGAUAUCGAGGAAAUGCAGAAGGCAAAGAACUGCGUAGGAGAUUAUUAAUACAAUAGUAUUAUAUCAACCAAGCCUGAUGUCGGUAGCUUCUUCAAUGAAUGCAGCAGUGUGACAGCCAGCAAUCAAUAGUGACAAGAAUUUAGGAAAUACAGAAGGCAAAGAAGCAGAUGUCAUCAAAGAAGAUCUUUGUUCCUGCAAUGUUUCCGCAGACGAUACAUCCAACAGAGCGAAGUGGAAGGAAAAGACUCGGAAAAAAGACCCCACCACCAUAUGGGAACAAUGCAAGGGAGAGAGAGAGAAUAUAAUUUUAUAUUUUUAUUUUUUGAUAACAUAAAAUAAACCAACAAUAUCCUACACAUUUUUUUUAUUUCUUUUUGUGUCUGUCUUAAUAGUUAUUACAAA
rnacentral:misc_RNA from 1 species